UCCGGUUCUUAAUACCAGCAUGUCAAACCUGGGUAAGGUUCUUCGCGUUGCGUCGAAUUAAACCACAUGCACCACCGCUUGUGCGGGCCCCCGUCAAUUCCUUUGAGUUUUAGCCUUGCGACCGUACUCCCCAGGCGGGGUGCUUAAUGCGUUAGCUGCGGCACGGGAGGAGUCGACACCUCCCACACCUAGCACCCAUCGUUUACGGCGUGGACUAC
rnacentral:misc_RNA from 1 species